rnacentral:tRNA from 1 species
GAGUUUAUCGUCUAAUGGACUAGGACCAAAACCUUCUAAGUUUUUAAUGUAAGUUCAAAUCUUACUAAACUCU